rnacentral:rRNA from 1 species
UGUCAUAUGCUUGUCUUAAAGACUAAGCCAUGCAUGUCUAAGUAUAAGCGUAUUAUACAGCGAGACUGCGGAUGGCUCAUUAAACCAGUUACAAUUUUAUUUGAUCAUAACGUUAUCUACUCGGAUAACCUUGCUAACGCAUGGCUAAUACGUGCUAAAAGCCCCGACUUCCGGAAGGGGUGCAUUUAUUAGUCACAAAACCAGCGCAAGGUGGAGUCGAAAGAUUUCGCUUUGGUUGCUUGGUGAAUCAUAAUAACUUAGCUGAUCGCAUGGCCUU